rnacentral:rRNA from 1 species
GUGGAUCAGUGGCGAACGGGUGAGUAACACGUGAGCAACCUGCCCUCCACUUCGGGAUAAGCCUUGGAAACGGGGUCUAAUACCGGAUAUGAGCAUCUGCCGCAUGGUGGGUGUUGGAAAGUUUUUCGGUGGGGGAUGGGCUCGCGGCCUAUCAGCUUGUUGGUGGGGUGAUGGCCUACCAAGGCUUCGACGGGUAGCCGGCCUGAGAGGGCGACCGGCCACACUGGGACUGAGACACGGCCCAGACUCCUACGGGAGGCAGCAGUGGGGAAUAUUGCACAAUGGGCGAAAGCCUGAUGCAGCGACGCCGCGUGAGGGAUGACGGCCUUCGGGUUGUAAACCUCUUUCAGCAGGGAAGAAGCGCAAGUGACGGUACCUGCAGAAGAAGCGCCGGCUAACUACGUGCCAGCAGCCGCGGUAAUACGUAGGGCGCAAGCGUUGUCCGGAAUUAUUGGGCGUAAAGAGCUCGUAGGCGGUCUGUCGCGUCUGGUGUGAAAUCCCGAGGCUCAACCUCGGGCUUGCAUCGGGUACGGGCAGACUAGAGUGCGGUAGGGGAGACUGGAAUUCCUGGUGUAGCGGUGGAAUGCGCAGAUAUCAGGAGGAACACCGAUGGCGAAGGCAGGUCUCUGGGCCGCAACUGACGCUGAGGAGCGAAAGCAUG